rnacentral:rRNA from 1 species
AUUGAACGCUGGCGGCAGGCCUAACACAUGCAAGUAGAGCGGAGCGGCGGACGGGUGAGUAAGGCCUAGGAAGGUGCCUGGUAGUGGGGGAUAACGUCCGGAAACGGGCGCUAAUACAUCAUGCUAUCAGAUGAACCUAGGUCGGAUUAGCUAGUUGGUGGGGUAAAGGCCUACCCAGGCGACGAUCCGUAACUGGUCUGAGAGGAUGACCAGUCACACUGGAACUGAGACACGGUCCAGACUCCUACGGGAGGCAGCAGUGGGGAAUAUUGGACAAUGGGCGAAAGCCUGAUCCAGCCAUGCCGCGUGUGUGAAGAAGGUCUUCGGAUUGUAAAGUACUUUCAGCGGGGAGGCGUUACCCGCAGAAGAAGCACCGGCUAACUUCGUGCCAGCAGCCGCGGUAAUAC